CAUGACCGGCUGGACACUCUCGUGCCCGGCCCACAAGUGGAGGCUCCGUUCUCCCACCUGGUCGGCUUCAGGCCGGCAGGUCUCCGGUCAGGCGGCGCCCAUCGUUCCGUACGGACGAUGGAGCUGCCCGAUAUGCCCCGCGGAUCGCACCGCGGCGUUCCGGUAUUUAUGGAGCCCCGCCUGUGUCCCGUCCGGGGCAUUUUUU
rnacentral:ncRNA from 1 species